AGCCUGAACGCUGGCGGCGUGGCUAAGACAUGCAAGUCGCACGGAGGUAGCAAUACCUUAGUGGCGAACGGGUGAGUAAUGUAUCGCUAACGUACCCUUAAGUCCGGGAUAGCCAGGGGAAACUCUGGGUAAUACCGGUUGACAUUCUUCUUCCACAUGGUUGGAGACUCAAAGGAGCAAUCCGCUGAAGGAGCGGGCGAUAUCGUAUCAGCUAGUUGGUGAGGUAACGGCUCACCAAGGCGACGACGCGUAGCCGGACUGAGAGGUCGGUCGGCCACAUUGGGACUGAGACACUGCCCAGACUCCUACGGGGGCUGCAGUAACGAAUCUUCCGCAAUGCACGCAAGUGUGACGGAGCGACGCCGCGUGUGGGACGAAGUCCUUCGGGAUGUAAACCACUGUCAGGGGUUACCAAGUUCUGAGGAGCCCCAGAGGAAGGCACGGCUAACUCUGUGCCAGCAGCCGCGGUAA
rnacentral:rRNA from 1 species